rnacentral:misc_RNA from 1 species
CAGUCGCACUGGAUACAUGUCACCUUACUCAGGGAAUGGAAAUUACCUCGGUUUUAGUGGAAAUGAGGAUAUGCCUUAUGAAGGUUAUGAUCAGAACAGUUCACUAGGCAUAUAGAUAUGCAAAAAAUUUAUAAAAACCAAAAAAAAAAAAGAAGGAAAGAUCAAUGUAGCUGUUUUUUGUUUUUCCAAUGCAGGCCAAUUUGCAGACAAGCAAGUGGAAGAUGGAAGUUUGGGGGAAUACGGCGGAC